AUACUCAAAAGUGGUUCUCUGGUUAUACUGUUAUAGCUGAUAAUCCUGAUAUUUUUUCUCCGCAAGACAAGGAAAUCUUUGCAAAGCUUUCAACAGAAAAGAGAUACCUGGUAAACAUCGGUUUGAAUCUACAACUUUUAUGUACUACUAAUGUUGCUUCAUUUGAAAGGAACAUAUCAUCAAAGGCAGUUAGAAGUUCCAAUCAGUCAUAACAGUAAUUAAUUUAAAUAAUUAUUAUAGUACACUAUUCAAAAAUGUUGAUCUAUCCUCUGGUGUUGUUUAGAAAUUAGUCACCAUCUAUUAGAGAGAAUAUUCGGACUCUGGUGGUUGCAAGUCUACAAAGUAUUGUUGGUUGGUCCAGGGUACCUGUUUUCACAACUGGUUGUUGGUUUAUUGUCCCUGAGUUUGUAGAAUAAUCAUUA
rnacentral:misc_RNA from 1 species